rnacentral:tRNA from 1 species
UGUAAGAUGGCUGAGCAACAAGCAGAAGACUGUAGAUCUUCCCACGGAAUUUAAAUCCUCUUAUAC